GCACUGCUGAGGAGUCUUAAACAGGAUGAAACAGCUGUCCAGUGC
rnacentral:hammerhead_ribozyme from 1 species